rnacentral:rRNA from 1 species
AAGGAUCAUUAAAGAUUAUGAAUGAAUAGAUUACUGGGGGAAUCGUCUGAACAAGGCCUGCGCUUAAUUGCGCGGCCAGUUCUUGAUUCUCUGCUAUCAGUUUUCUAUUUCUCAUCCUAAACACAAUGGAGUUUUUUCUCUAUGAACUACUUCCCUGGAGAGCUCGUCUCUCCAGUGGACAUAAACACAAACAAUAUUUUGUAUUAUGAAAAACUAUUAUACUAUAAAAUUUAAUAUUCAAAACUUUCAACAACGGAUCUCUUGGUUCUCGCAUCGAUGAAGAACGCAGCGAAUUGCGAUAUGUAUUGUGAAUUGCAGAUUUUCGUGAAUCAUCAAAUCUUUGAACGCACAUUGCGCCCUCUGGUAUUCCAGGGGGCAUGCCUGUUUGAGCGUCAUUUCUCUCUCAAACCUUUGGGUUUGGUAGUGAGUGAUACUCGUCUCGGGUUAACUUGAAAGUGGCUAGCCGUUGCCAUCUGCGUGAGCAGGGCUGCGUGUCAAGUCUAUGGACUCGACUCUUGCACAUCUACGUCUUAGGUUUGCGCCAAUUCGUGGUAAGCUUGGGUCAUAGAGACUCAUAGGUGUUAUAAAGACUCGCUGGUGUUUGUCUCCUUGAGGCAUACGGCUUUAACCAAAACUCUCAAAGUUUGACCUCAAAUCAGGUAGGAGUACCCGCUGAACUUAA